UACGUAGGGCGCAAGCGUUGUCCGGAAUUAUUGGGCGUAAAGAGCUCGUAGGCGGCCUGUCGCGUCUGCUGUGAAAUCCCGGGGCUUAACCCCGGGCGUGCAGUGGAUACGGGCUGGCUGGAGGCAGGCAGGGGAGAACGGAAUUCCUGGUGUAGCGGUGAAAUGCGCAGAUAUCGGGAGGAACACCGGUGGCGAAGGCGGUUCUCUGGGCCUGUACUGACGCUGAGGAGCGAAAGCGUGGGGAGCGAACAGG
rnacentral:rRNA from 1 species